GUUUUUUUUUGGUUUUUUUUGU
rnacentral:sRNA from 1 species